rnacentral:rRNA from 1 species
CCAAUAGCGUAUAUUAAAGUUGUUGCAGUUAAAAAGCUCGUAGUUGAACUUCGGGGUCUACCCAUUGGUCAGGCUUAAUUGUCUGCACUGGUGAGAUGGAUCUCUACCUUCUGAGGAACUUUCAUGCCAUUUAUUUGGUGUGAUGGGAAAUCAGGACUGUUACUUUGAAAAAAUUAGAGUGUUUAAAGCAGACUAUCGUCUGAAUACAUUAGCAUGGAAUAAUGAAAUAGGACGGACUGAUUCUAUUUCGUUGGUUUCUAGGAUCACCGUAAUGAUUAAUAGGGAUAGUUGGGGGCAUUAGUAUUCAAUUGUCAGAGGUGAAAUUCUUGGAUUUAUUGAAGACUAACUACUGCGAAAGCAUUUGCCAAGGAUGUUUUCAUUAAUCAAGAACGAAAGUUAGGGGAUCGAAGACGAUCAGAUACCGUCGUAGUCUUAACCAUAAACUAUGCCGACUAGGGAUCGGACGAAGUUAAUUUUAUAAUGACGCGUUCGGCGCCUUACG